AGAGGGAGAAAAAAAGAAGUUAGAACCAAUCUGAUUCAGAUUGAGUAGAACAGAUUAAUCUUAAAUAAAGAACGACGUAAAACUUUGCAUUCAAAACGACACUGCUUUAAGCAUCUCACAAACACACUACACGAUGCAUCAACGCAAGCUCGCCUCAUUGCGAAGAAUCUCGUAGGACGACGAACGUGGAACGAUCGAGAAAAGCCAUAUAGACGUACGAUGGAACGAAGAGAUACGCAGGUGUGUGUAACGGGAAAAAGAGACAGAGAGAAUAAGAAACGUCAGCGGAUCGCGCGAUUCACGACGGACUCAACCGAAUCGAACAACGACGGGACGAGCGUUGCUGCUCGCUGUUGAGCUGCUGUAUUGCUAUUCCCCUGCUUCUUGGCAGACCCGGCACUUGGGCCCAAAACCAGGGCCGUACGCAUAAUGGUGUUCGUGACGUUUUAUGUUAAGCGUUCCAAACUCCCGCCUCUUCUCCCCACCACUACACUUUCUUAUCUUCCUUGCAUACUUUUAGCGUCGAUGAGUAUUUACACAUGUAUUUACAACGGGUAUGCAACAACUACAGUUACGCGCUAAAUGUAGGAUGAUGCAUUUUAGGGAUUCGCCCGAAAAUUGAUCUUUUAUCUUUCAAGACAAUUCUUCGCGUUACUUCUCUUUCUACUUUGAAGAAACGAAAUAUUACGGAUUUAUUAUUUUUAAUUAUCGUCAUAUUUAUCGUCAUUAAUUAUCGUCAUUAAUUAUCGUCAUAUGAACUUUUAAUCAAAUUUAUAAUAUACGUAUAUUAAAACGAUGUCAUUAUUAAACUGUUUACGUUAAUUUUACAGGAAUUUUGUGGAAUCGGUUACUUCAUUCGAUUUGUCAUAUCGAAUGAAGUAACCAAUUUCAAUGUGUGAUUGUAAUUCAUAUUACAAUGAAAAUCGAUUAUAAAUGUUGUUGUUUAUUACGAAAUCAAUUAGCAAAAUGACGAAAUCUUUUUUGAAACGAUUAUUACGUAUUUACGUAUAUUAUAUAUAUAUAUAUACACACGAAGUUAUUUAACGUAUUAUAAUAAUAUUUGUAUUUAUUAACAUUAGAGUAAAAAAAUUCUUAAAUAGAAACGAAAAAUACUUUGAAUAGUAUAAUAUCUUGCAUCUGCUUUAUAAAGGCGUUGUUUUUGUGCAACGUUCUACAGAUAAUAUAUAUAUUUAAUUUUACAUACAUAAAAUAAAAUUAAUGUUAUAUAAAUGAAAAAUGCAAGUGAUUAAAAUCUUAUAGAUACGAACGAUUUAGUACGGUAAUGAACUCUCAUUUCAUUUCCUUCGUCUAUGUAUAUACAUAAAGAAGAGACAUACUUACGUAUGCACACGCAAAAGACAUUCGAUAUGCGUAUUUCGAUACUUUAAGGUCGCCCGCAAAUAGAAACCCUCGUUCGUGAUGCGGAUCUUUCGAGAGAAAGAAAGAAAAAAAAAAAAAGAAAAAGAAAUGCAGUACUACGAGACAGACAUGGGUGAUCAAUUUCACGAGAUCGGCAAAGAAUGGAAAGCAAACCGUUAUUUUGUAUAAGAAUGUAAAUCGUCGAAUUAGCAACGAGAUGCUUUUUCGCGACCUGAUAAUUAUUCGACGAGAAAUCGUAUGAGAAAUUCUUACGAUCACAUUCAAUCGAUGUAAACAGGUGCUUACGAAUGAUCAGGUAGUUUGUUGCGGGAAUUUUAAAUUUACGAUUCGCUACGAUUGUUUAUUCAUUAUUUAUAACCUAGAAAAGUCAAUCUCAAUUUGGCAAAGGAAUUCUUGAUCGAUUUAUUUCUUCUUCGCGUAAGAACAAACCUAUAUAAUUCUUAUUACUAUAAUAAUUAUUGACUUUUUUCAAUUACACUUCUAUCGAAGUAUCUAAAUACAAUAAACCACAAUCCAUUUCCAGAUAUAACAGAUUCUACAAAGAACACAAUUCGUUGUUCCAAAAAUCUCGAAAAUAACUUUACAAUUUGAUUGAUUUCUUUCCAAAGAAUUUUGUAUUAUAAACUUAUGCAUGGUAUUUUUCAAUAAACAAUUUUCAAUUUGUAUUUGUCUAACGUAACAAUACAUUUAUUAAUAACUACUUCGUUUUAAAGAGAAUCAAUUGAUCCACAAUUGAACUUGUUUACGUAAGAUAUAUUUCGUUUCAAGGAGUCAUAAUUCGAAUUACAAAAUCUAUAACGUAGCUAAUCGCGACAUCUAUGUAUCAAAAUGUUUAACUUUAAAGCACUAAUUACAAGUAAAUUAAAUAGUGCUAAAUGGUGCUAAAUAUUACAAUUUUAACAAGUAUCUACGAAAUAAGAAAUGAUAAUUGGAUUGAAGAAGGAAGAGAAUUUGUUUAUUUCAAUAAUCAUCAAAACACUAUCUAAUUGUAAGAUUGAAUCAGAAUAAUGACAGAAAGAAAUUACAACGAAGUAGAAUAAAGAAGAAAGUUAAAGAGAAAGAAAGAGAUCAGUGAUAAAUUCUUUGGUAUGGUAAUACACACAUUCCACAUAUCACAAGGCUUUAAGAAUUAUUCUAUAGGGUGUCGCGAGAAAAAAGAUGUAGGUAUUUCUUCCUCAAUAAAUAAUAACUGCCCCAUUCAUGCUCGCUCUAGCGUAAAAACACUAAAUAAAAGAAGGGAAAAGAAAGAAAUAAACGUGUACUUUAAUUAUAUGAAGUAUAAUGAUCUAUGUCAUUAGCACCAUUAAAACGAAAGAAGAUUUAUGCGAUUAAGUAACGCUCUGUUUGUAAUCAUUAGUAUCUAAGAAAAUUUUUUAUUGACAUGCAUUUCGUAUAUCUGAUAGAUUUAAGCAAGGCAUUUCAAUUUCACAUUCCUACUUCAUUACCAGAGAAAGAAAAAAAGAGAGGAGGGAGGAAGAAAGAGAGAGAGAGAGAGAGAGAAAGAGACAAGAAAGAAAGAGAAAAAGAGAGAGAGAAGAAAGAAAGAAAAAAAGAAAGAAAGAAGAAAGAGAGAGAGAGAGAGAGAGAGAGAGAGAAAGGGAAAGAGAGGGAGAGAAAGAGAAAGAAUAUGGUAUCUAAUCUUUAACAUCAAGCUGAUGUUUCCAAGGCAUUACAAAAUGUUAUGACGUAUUAAUAUAUCGAAGUCAUGAGAUAUACGUAGGUAGAAGUUGAAUCCCUUCGUACGCAACCAAAUACGCCUAUACACUGACAGUACUUUCAUAGUUCAACACACCUACGCUUUAUAGAUAUAUAAUUUGGAUUAUUUUCAAACAUUUCUCAAGACUUCAAUAAACUAUUACGAGAUACCGAUCAUCUCAGCAAGUAUAAUGGAUAAUUGAAAUAUUUCAAACGAAUCCAAUAAAAAGUUCUCUCAUCUAUGUGAAGUUCAACGUCAAAACGUAGCCCUAACAUAGAAGACAUCUACGUAGCGUAACGAAUCACGUACACGUGGUCACCACUGUGGAGAAUGCAUUUCUUUAUAUGGCAUCUAUAUAAUAUUCUUCACAAUCUAUCUAGUGGCAUAACGCAUAUACUUUAGCGUUCUAUUCAUGGUCACCGAUUUUACCGUUAAAACGCGACAUUUCCGUUCAUUGCUAGAUAUAAAUGUGAGUUUCCUUUUAUAGAUGUGAUAGAUCUUGAAAAGGAACAAUUUUAACGUACUCCAUCUUUGAGAAGAAGCUUACUCGAUCAACCUUUCCUGAGUAGGCACGUAUUUGUACGCCUAUUAUGUGAUCAAGGUGCAUAAUGCGGUGUCUUAAAUAGCGUGGGAGAUAUAGGAUCAUAAUAAUCGUCCAGGAAACCCAUGGCUGAAGAUAUUGUCUUAUACAAAAAGGAAAUGACGUAUAUGAAAUAAAAAAAGAGAAAAAAAAGAAAAAGAAAAAAAUACUAAGUAAAGAAAACGAUGAACGUAUCGUGUAUUUGGGUCAGUAGCACAACACUUGAAUGCGUGAAAUCGUAAGUCAAUGACCUGAUCGAUGACCUGUUGACUUAGAGAGGGUACAUUACUUGCGAACGAGAAAGAAUCUAAGCAAUGUUCACGGAAGUAAACGCAUAUAUACACAUAUAUGUAGUACGUAUAUACGAAUGGAAGCCAACUCCGUAAUAAACAGACAGAAGGAACAUCUUUAUUUCUCGAGAGAGUUGAUUCGUAAAUAAUGAUACACUUUAAAAUGGAUAAUAAAUCGUUACUAAUCGAAUUUUUUCCUUCAACAAAUAUAGACAUUUGUUUCGGUCAUUGUAUAUUAUAGAGCUAUGUACAUCAAAAUCAUUAUUCUUGUGCCUGAAGAAUGAAGGCAACGGUAUAAAGGCAGAGUGAAAGUUUCUCGUGAUAAUAGAAAUGGUAAUUUUUAAUAUUUAUAAACUAUCGAGUUCCUAUUGAGUAUCGGCCUUCUUAAUAAGAUUUUUAAAUACCUUUCUAAGUAUAUAUAGUUUAAAUAAAUACAUUAUACGAAUAUUUUUUAUGUCUCCAUUAUAGAUUCAUGUAUAAAUUAAUAAUCGUUAUUUUAUAAUAGAAUUUAUGCUUGAGAGAAUGCAAUCGUUAAAAUGAUAAUUCUUCAUUAUUAAAACAUCUUUAAUAUUGAUGAAUUUAUGGAAGAAUUUUAAUAAUAUGUAUAAAACUUAUAUUGCGUUUAAUCAAAUAAUACAUGAACGAUGCUGAUUUUUCCUACUUUUUAAUCUGUGAUGGUACUGCCAAGUGCCAUGCAUUCCGUUGAAUCGCAUACAAGUAUGCAUGCAUGUACGAGGUACAUACAUAUGCAUGUAUAUUCCAUAGUUAAAUGCAAAAUAAUUCGUUCAGCUCUCGAUUACGAACCUUUUUUUAAUGGAUAACGUCAUGAAAGAAAACGAAGGCGAUUGACAAUGCUUCAUUAUUUUCUUUUUUUUUUUCUUUUGUUAGACAAAAUUAAAAUGAUAGUAUGAAAACUUACCGGGAACGACUUCGCCAUUGAAUGUCAUUUCAACCAAAUGUGUAACAGCUUCA